UAUUCCUCAAUUUCACAUACUUGAGCUGAAGCUUUUCAUUUAAAUUUUAUCCGCUUUUGUAGUUAGGUGUUAUUUAAUUUGUUAGCAUCUAUCUAUUUCGUACUAUAUAUUAACUUCUUACUAAUUCUGUAAUCGAAAGAGGCGGAAGAAGUAAUAUAGUUAAUUUUGGUACUGAUAGAUGUUGACUUUUAUUUAGUGACAUCUAGCUUUUAUAUGUUAAAAUUUGAGUCUACACUUAUUUGUAAUCGAAAGAGGUGAAUAUUACAGUAAUCAAUUAUAUCAAGUAGGGUAACCGAAAGGGACCUACUAAAAAGAGCAUAUUUUAGUUCAAGUAUAUAUUUCUGGUUAUUUAAUGUUACCAUUUUAACGAUUAAUUAGUAUAACCGAGAGGAGUGCAAUUAAUUAUUUAACAAUAGUAAUAAUAUAUAAAUGUAAUCGUGAGAGGCAUUUAUACAUUUAUGAGAAAUAAAAAUUGAAGAAUAAAUAUAUCUACUGUAUAAUAAAAAUAUUAAGUGAAGGCACGAUCCCAACACCCUUUUUAUUAUAUUUGUGAAAAACUAGAUAUUUUCUAUUGCUUUAUUCGUGCAUUUUUAGUUAGUUAAUUCACAACACAACUCUUUCUGAUUUUCUCAAAUAGUAAUUAAAACAAAAAAUGUCUGUAGAAUAGAUAAAUCAAUCUCUAUGGGUUUAACAUCUUUCUAUAUUAUUAUUUGACAGAGUACGAGUUUAAAUCAUAUACGCCAGACACUCGUCAGCCAGCUCGAGGCGGAGGUCGAGCAAGUAGAGGUCACCCUAGAGGGGGAGGCUAGGCCAGAUAUUAUGCUCUUCCUAUUUGGACGGAGAUCCAGGUACAUCUUAUCAGCCUCGGUAUUAGUGUAUGGAGUUACUUGCUUAUAGGAGACUUCAAGGUACACCUUCCUGUGUCCGUAGGCCUCGGAGUCCCCUUCAAUCCUAUCUUUUCCUUGUUUCUUUAUGUUUCUUCAUAGAGAGUGAUGUAUAGGUUUGUGCAACAUUGUAUCUAGAGCUUGUAACUUAUAUCUCACUGGGUUUUGGGAGUUGUAUUCAUAUUGAGUUGCAGUUAUUACUUUA